AGCUGGGGAACCAUUGAAAAACUUACCAGAAACAGACAGGAGUGGAGGAGCUUUGUCACUGCCCUAAACACCAGAGGCAUAAUAGGAACAUGAUGAUAAUGAUGACUAGAGAGUGUGCCUCAGUAAUAUUGUGCGACGAUGAGUUCCACAGUCUUUUUUUUUCUCAAACACCAUCUUUGGUGCUUGAGAGAAGAAGAGGAUAGAAAAGCCCUGGCCAUUCAACAGGAAAAAAAACAAGCCUUGCAGAGAAGAACCUUAUUCCAAAGAUCUUGUGGGCUGUGACUACGAUCUUGCAAAAAACGUUGGAUCACUCAUCUGCACUCCUCUUUACCUCUGAGUAGAAGAGACUCUUAAUGCAUGGAUGUCCCUACCUUUGAUAUGGAAGAAGGAUCUGCCUGCCCUUUCAACCUGGAUUUGGCAGAGCAUCUCCAUGCAUCUGGGAUCCACUUGAGAAGAAGUGUGAGGAGGUUGGUUGGAUCAAAGGGAAGAGUGGCUAGGCUAGAGGAGGAGUCAGCAAGCUGUGGCCAAGGGUUACAGGAACCCAUAAGUGCAAAAUCUUCAAUGAAGCUUAGUUGUGGCUGGUUCUAGAAAUGAGAAGAUUUGGGGGCACUUUUUUCUGAGUAAUUCCACACAUAUCUAUGUUAGUAACCCUAUUGAUUAGGUGGAGAUGGCCACUGUGGUCUAUUUAGGCCAAACUCUUAUUUCAUUUACACUUCUGCUGCAAAUCCAAAGUGACUCAAUUGAUUUACACUAGUGUAAAUCUGUAAUACCCCAAUAAGAGAGAUCUGAGCCCAGUAUAAUAUUGUCUUUCUUUUUCAAACUUCCAAGAGGGAAAACAAUUUACCUUUUAGGAUGCCAUAUCUCAUAAACUUUCUCAUGUCAUGACAGAGGUGAUUUUUCUGUAAAGUUUAAAGAUAAUCCAUUCAUCUGCUUUUGAGCUGUCAGGAAGUGGAGAAAUUAUGUUUUAUGCUCUGAAAACAUUUUCACAGCAUAGUGUGCUUAGAUAACUCAAAAACAGUUUUGAUUUAAAUAAGGUUUUUGUCCAUAAUGAGAAGAGUGCUUUGCCUUGUCUGAAGAAAUAAUGGAUGUGUGCCCAUUUGAAAAUCAGAUAUUAAUUGUUUACAGUACAAUGAUUUAUUUAAAGGUGUACCACAAAGUGGAUUACUCUCACAGUGCACCAGGGGUCUAUAGUUCAGAGGAGCAAUCAAAAUUUCCAUACUGAUCUUAACUUUUUCUGAACUAUCCAAACCUUGUGGGAACUUGGGAAUCUUGCACAAAGCAAGCUUACUCAUCAGACUGCCUUUAUCUCCUAUCUCCAGUCAAGUUAAAAAAGAAGUAUGUGCAUCAUAACUAAGGAGAAAAAAAUGGACUUAAUAGAGGGGUAACUGGGUGACAUUGUAUGGCCUCUGUUUUACAAGAAGACAGAAUAGAUGAUGCAGUGCUCCCUUCUCACCUUAAAAUCUAUGAACCUUGAGAUGUUCACAGGGGAGUUUGAGUGGGAGUUCUGUUGGAGGAGAAGGUAUUUGUACUUGGUUUUGUAUUUUUAGUAUUUGUGUGUGUGU